AUUGAACGCUGGCGGCAUGCCUUACACAUGCAAGUCGAACGGCAGCACGGGAGCUUGCUCCUGGUGGCGAGUGGCGAACGGGUGAGUAAUACAUCGGAACGUACCCAGUAGUGGGGGAUAACGCACCGAAAGGUGCGCUAAUACCGCAUACGACCUAAGGGUGAAAGCGGGGGACCGCAAGGCCUCGCGCUAUUGGAGCGGCCGAUGUCUGAGUUAGCUAGUUGGCGGGGUAAAGGCCCACCAAGGCGACGAUCAGUAGCUGGUCGUAGAGGACGAGCAGCAAACCUGGGACUGGGACACGGCCCAGACUCCUCCGGGAGGUAGCAGUGGGGAAUUUUGGACAAUGGGGGCAACCCUGAUCCAGCAAUGCCGCGUGUGCGAAGAAGGCCUUCGGGUUGUAAAGCACUUUUGUCAGGGAAGAAAUCUUUCAGGCUAAUACCCUUGGAAGGAUGACGGUACCUGAAGAAUAAGCACCGGCUAACUACGUGCCAGCCGCCGCCGUAA
rnacentral:rRNA from 1 species